UCCGAUUUCGGCAAUGGAUUCUGCCUUUAACCGCCCUUCGUGGGGCUGAUGACUCCUACUUGGAA
rnacentral:ncRNA from 2 species